UGGGGAAUCUUAGACAAUGGGGGAAACCCUGAUCUAGCCAUGCCGCGUGAGUGACGAAGGCCUUAGGGUCGUAAAGCUCUUUCGCCGGGGAAGAUAAUGACGGUACCCGGUAAAGAAGUCCCGGCUAACUCCGUGCCAGCAGCCGCGGUAAUACGGAGGGGACUAGCGUUGUUCGGAAUUACUGGGCGUAAAGCGCACGUAGGCGGACUAAUAAGUCAGGGGUGAAAUCCCGGGGCUCAACCCCGGAACUGCCUUUGAUACUGUUAGUCUUGAGUCCGUGAGAGGUGAGUGGAACUCCGAGUGUAGAGGUGAAAUUCGUAGAUAUUCGGAAGAACACCAGUGGCGAAGGCGGCUCACUGGCACGGUACUGACGCUGAGGUGCGAAAGCGUGGGGAGCAAACAGGAUUAGAUACCCCCGUAGUCC
rnacentral:rRNA from 1 species